AAGCCAGAUUGAUUCAACUUAUUUCGACGACGAGUUUCAGAAAUUACCUGCUGGUUUGAUUCGAAAGCACGACGUCGCAUCUGCUGCGUCUAAUAAAGGCAAAACCCGUUACAAGGAUUUGUAUGCAUAUGACGAUUCACGAGUUGUCCUGACAAACGAGUGUCCAGAUGAUUCCGACUACAUCAAUGCUAGCUAUAUACAUG